rnacentral:rRNA from 1 species
UCUCAGUUCGGACUGUAGGCUGCAACUCGCCUACACGAAGCUGGAAUCGCUAGUAAUCGCGGAUCAGCACGCCGCGGUGAAUACGUUCCCGGGCCUUGUACACACCGCCCGUCACACCAUGAGAGUCUGUAACACCCAAAGCCGGUGGGAUAACCUUUAUAGGAGUCAGCCGUCUAAGGUAGGACAGAUGAUUAGGGUGAAGUCGUAACAAGGUAAC